rnacentral:lncRNA from 1 species
AAUCCUGGCGAUGUGUUUGUGUUCCCAAAAGGUCUUAUUCACUUCCUGUAUAAUAUAGGAAACAAAAAAGCUACUUCUCUAAUCUAUUACAAUAGUCAAAAUCCUGGAGUUAUCUCGAUUCCUAAUUCAAUCUUUGCAUCAAAACCACCUGUUCCAGACGACGUUCUUGCCAAAGGCUUCCAGCUGAAUAAGAUACAGAUUGCACAACUUCGAAAGAAAUUCUCUUAAGGCUAUAUUAUGUCUUUACAAAUGUGAUUCUGUGUUUUUCUGAAAGUUGUUUGCAGCAAGUUAAUUAGGUGCUCACGCGUCUUAUGAAAGUGUUGGAAUAAUACUUUACUCCUAAUAAAUCAAGUGGCAAUGUAUGUAACUAUAAUCUUUCUUUGCAAUAUAAUGAAUAAGCCCAUGCACCUUUAGUAAUCUAAGAGUGGAAUUGACAUGCUUAAUGGUUAUAUAUAAUUUCUAUAAUAAAUUAGGUGAUCCAAAUUGGUAACCCUCUUUAUAUGUUUGAGUAGGAUAUAUGAAUUGAAUUUAAUAUUUUCUAAUAUUGCCGCAAAAGUAUUUAGUAGCAAUUGAGUUACUGUCAUUGCAUCCAUUGUGGCUAAAACCUUUAGUGACAUUUAUAUAGAGGGCUGGUACUUUUAGCAGCAAUUAUUUGAAAAUUUGAAAAUCAAGAUCAAAACAGAGUCUGGAGAAUCGAAGUCAUUAUACAUAUACCCUGAAAUUGUUCAUUUGUCGAUAUCAACAAGGAUUUGCACAACUAAAAAUAAUGUUAAAAUGUAAACCUAGGUUCCGCAGAUUCAACAGAAAAAUUCAGGAGCACUAAACAUAUUUUAACAGAUUGAAAAUAAACAAAACUGGAAAGCUCAUCAAGCAAAGAACAACAAAAAGUUGAGAGAUACGAAAGCUUUCAAUUCGCAUGGAAUCGAUUUUGUGAAUCUCAAAGCUGCCGCUUCAGAUGGAAUGGAGAAAGAGUGAUCGAGCCCUUUUGAAUUUGGUGAAUUUAGAGAAGUUUUUUGAAUGAAAUUGAAUUUGAAUUUGGUGAAUGUAGAGUGAUCGAGCCCUUUUUUAAAUUGAAUGUAGAGAAUGUUUGGAAAUUUUAGAGAAAAAAGGUUUUUUUUAAAAUUAAAUUAAAUGGAAUUUGGCUGUAUUUAUUAGACUUUUAUGUCGUUAAAGGUUAGUGAAUUGAGUAAUAGUAAUAUUAAUGUUACCGGACUAAUUGCAAUUAAACGGAUAAAUUUUACUGAAAACAUGAUUUAGCGAGCAAAUAUAUUUGAAUUUUGAACAACUGUCUUCUUCAAAUUUCAAAUACUAUAACAAGUCAACACUAUCUCUUUCGCAUCCGUUGGCAAACGAGCAAAACCAUCUGACUACCCAAAAAGGCCCUUACCUUGAACAAAGAUUCCAAAGUGGAAUUACCAUAGAGCAAAAUUGGAACCAUCCAAUUUUGUGGAGAGCAAAUCGUGCGGGAUGAAUGUGAACUCAUUGAGCAGAUAGAAUACAACAAAGAAAGCUAGAAAGACAUGAGAUUUUCUAAAUAGUAUUCUCUUGUUAAUUUAGAAUUAGAAUGAUAUAGUAGAAAAUAUUUAUAGCUAUAAUGGUUUACCUAAAUUUCACCUACAAAGUUACUCUUUUGUACCAAUGAAGAAUUAUCUUCCUACCAAUCUUCACAUUAAUUCAUCUUUGAAUCUUGUCAAAUUUAACAAAUCUCCACCUUGGCAAGAUUCUCCAUUUUUAACUUUCUCUCAACAACAAUUUUUUAUUGUGUCUUCAACCUCAAUCUUCAAUGUUCAACAAUGUUGAAACUUGACCGCAGUCACCACUUUUGUCAGCAUAUAUCGGCAGGAUUAUCCGUAGUAUGGAUUUUUUGCACUAUGACUCCACCUUCUUCUAUGAUGUCUCGUAUGAAAUGAUAUCGGACGUCAAUGUGCUUCAUCCUUGCAUGAUAAACUUGGUUCUUCGCUAAUUGAAUAAUACUUUGACUAUCACAAAAUAUUGUGAUUCCUUCUUGUCCAAUACCAAGCUCUCUAAGCAAUCCUUGAAGCCAAAUUGCCUCCUUCACAGCCUCUGUAAUUGCCUGUAAAGUAGGCUUCCAACUAACUGGUGUGUUUGCAAUAGUGAAUACAUAACCAAUAGUUGAUCUUCGUUUGUCCAAAUCACCUGCAUAAUCUGAGUCACAAUAUCCAACAAGAUAUUGACUAUCUUUAUGCUCGAAAACCAAGCCAACAUCUACAGUAUUAUGCAUAUAUUGUAGAAUCCAUUUUAUAGCCUCCCAAUGAUCUUUUCCAGGAUUAUGCAUGUACCUACUUACAACUCCAAUGGUGUGUGAAAUAUUUGGCCUUGUGCAAACCAUUGCAUACAUCAAGCUACCAACAACAUUUGCAUAUGGUACUCUUGACUUAUAUUCUCGUGUAGCUUCAUUCUUUGGUGAAAGAGCAUCACUAAACUUAAAAUGAGGAGCAAGCGGAGUGCUAACCGACUUCUAAUUUGAUACAAUAAUGUGGUAAAAUCAAUUAAUGAUCGGAAAACACAAAUAGAGAGAGAGAGAGAGAGAGGCAACUGGGGAAGUUAAUUAAGCUUUCAGUAAAUUAUCUAAUAAUUCCUCGGUAUAUAACAGGGGUCUGAGGAAGUUAAUGAAACUUUCAGUAAACUAGCUAAUAAUUCCUGGGUAUUUUUUGAGUAUAUAUAAGCUCUACCACAGUGUACAUCAUAGAGAAAGCACUCUACUCAUAAGAGCUGCAUAUACCACAGCUUAUUCCACAUGUGAAAAGCCUCCGCCAGUCUCAGCCAGGGUCCUGGCGGAGCCAGGGUUUUCAAUAAGAGGGUUCAAAAUCUGAAGAAGUGUACACACGAACUAGUCGAAGGGGGUUCGACAUCUAUUAUAUAUACCUAAAAAAUAAUUUUAACCAUGUAUAUAUAGUAAUAUUUUUCGCCGAAGGGAACCCCUAAGAACAUGCUGGCUCCGCCCCUCCUGCAUACAUAGAUGCCAUCGUUUAGUUGACUCGUGGAUAACAGGUAAUGCAGAAGAGAGCUAACGCCAAAUUACAGGAAUUCAACAGGUAAAUGCAGAAGUGAUCAUUAAUUGAUUUUACUACAUUGAGAUUUUGCAGAGAAACCAUUCUCAUCUUGGUCACAUGUCUAUGAGGAGGAGAGUUAUAAUGAGGUUAUAUACCCAGCACGUCACACGUGUGUCCAGUGUAAUUUAAUUUUUGAUUUGUUAGAAUGAUUAGAAUUCUAUGAAAACAUGCUUGUAAUGAGUAAUAAAAUGCAACAAUUAUAGAGAAUUAAUCUUUAAAAGUGUGACAAGAAACACCAAAUGAAGGACAUAUUUCAAUGUUUAAAAGUAAUUCCUUAUAAGCAACCAACGGUAAAUCUGAACAUUGGUUAGUAGUAGCAAACUUCCAAUAAAGUCACAAAUAACUAAUUUGAGCCUAAUGAAAAUAUAGAAUUUCGUAGAAAAUUAAAUUAAAGAAGUCUAAUAGGAAGAAAAAACACAAAAUAUAUAUACAUGAAAAAAAAAUACAAUAUACACUUCCUUCUAAAGUCUUUAAUCAUAACAAUGCAUAUGAAAAAAGAAAUAUAGAAUUACUACAUAAUUUCUGAGUUCUUGUUUACACCUUCUCCCAUAACCGAUUAAAAUUCAAGAGUCUUCUCAUCGAGUCAAACUAAAACAUAAAUCAGAUAGCACAAUAAUAAUAUAAACGCUCCACUACUUUCACUAUAGAAAGAAAUGAAUAACCAUGGAUUAGAGUCUCACGAAACAAAAAAAAUGAUUUAUAUAGAUAAAAACGGAGGAAUAUCAAAAGUUAUCUUAGUUUAAAUUAAUAUUUAGAGGUUAUGAAUAUGAAAAGUAUGAGAGUUAUGGAUUUAUGAGUAGCAAUUGAAUAGGUAAUUAUAUAUGAUUUAUGAUAGUGAUUAUUUAAAGCAAUAAAAAAAUGAAGAAGAGUAAAAGAUUAGUACAAACUAUAUUUAAGUAAAAAGUAUUAUAAUGUUACAUAUUAAUAGUGAAAAAAAUAAUUGCAUCACAGACUUCAAAUAACUUUGUGAUUUUCUCAAUGAAUUAAAUACUAAUUACCUCAGUAAAUUCGAUUUGGAAUACAAAAAAUAAACGUUUUGACAAGGUUAAAUAGGAGAGUAGUACUACAUUAAGUUAUUCAAAUAAUAAUUACGAGAAGUGGAAAAGAUUUAGUUAUAAUAUUUAUUCAGAUAUACAAUUUCAUGUGCCAAAUAAAUAUAGAUACAUUUGACCUAACACCUUCUCACUUUAAUAUUUAGUAUAAUAAUAAUAUAAUAUGAUUUAUUAUUUAAUAUUUAAUUAAUUAAAUAAUUUAUAAUUUUAUGAUUUUAGUGUAAGAAAAAAGUAGUAAUCCAACUUUAUACUUUGGAGCUUCCCACUUUUAGUAAUACUAAUUUUUCGACACGUGUGUUGCACGUGAUUAUCCAUUCAAAAAAUUUAAGCGAAGAUUUGAAUAAUAAGUUUUGCACAAAAUAAUAUUGCAGAUUCUUUUGUGAAUGUUCAAUGUGGAUUGUCAUAGAUAUCUCUUAUUCACGCGAACCUAUGAAGAUGGUCAAUGAAAAAUUUAUUAGUUAAAUGCAAUAAUGUAUAUAUUUAUUUCAAUUUGAUGAGGUUCAAUCAUGUAAUUAGUCGUAUCUCACUAAUAUUACCUUAUAGACGAUAUUCGUUGUGUAUUUUUCUUGUCAUCUAACUAGAUGUGAUUUCCACGUGUAUUCCACGUUAAUCUGUUUAGAUGUCAUAUUAACAUGCGGAGAACAGCUACAUUUUAUAUUUUAGAACUAUUUUUGUAAUUAAUUUUUAUUUUAUAAGUUAUGACUUCUUGAUUGAUUGUGUACAUAAAUCAAAGAUGGUUAUCUGACUGUCCAUAGUUAACUCAGAAAUGUUUCCUUUUUUUUGCCGGAGAAACUAAAAAUUAAAAUUAAAGAAUAUAUUUUAUCUCUAAAAUCAUAUAUAUGAUCACCUAUUUAUCUUACACCCAACAAAGAUAUAAUUCAUAUACUUGUAAACAAGUUUCAAUUUAGUCAACCAAUCCUGAUUCUCCCAAGGAAAAAUAACAACACCGUGUUAUCACAUAUAUAGGGACAGUAUAAUAAUACCAAAAAUUAUUGAUAAAAAGUUAAUAUAAAGAAAGAUGAAAGAUAGAAAUAAUUACUGUAAUAACUAUGAGAAUUCAUAAUAUUAUAACUAAAGAAUGUAAAGGAGUGUGAAUAAUGUUUGCAAUAAUUAAUAAUAACUAAGAGAAUUUAUAAUGUUAUAACUAAAGAACUAGUGUGAAAUAGAUGAAUUUCUAAUAGAUUUUAUACUUACAUAAAUAAAUAGGACUUUUAAUUAAUGUUACUAUUUUUUUUUAUAGUUAUUAGAUUUUAAUUUAGUGUAGGGACAAAAUGAAAUUUUUUAUUCCAUAUUACAUAAUAUAAAAUUUAUUUUGUUAAUGAUAAAUUUUAAAUGAUUCAUAUAUUUUCACAUUUGAUGUGAGUUUCUUUUUAAAAAAAAAGAACUCGGAACUUUUUAAAAUAAUAUAUUUUGAAGUUAGAAGAUCUUGUUAACUUUAGGCUACAUAAUGUUAACUUCAUAUCUUGGAACAUUGCAUAAUAAUGUAUAUACUAAGCAAAAAAAUAAUUAUUGGAUCAUCACAAUUAUUUUUCUUAAGUACUCGAGGUUAAGAAAUAUACCCUCUUAGGAUAGAACGACUUACUUAAUCAGAAUAGUGGUACCUCAUAUUCCGCUAAACUGCGAAGUCACACAACGAUAAUAAAUCACACGAAAUUUUUUAAAGUGCAAGAAGAAGAAGAGUAGAAGAUUAAAAAAAAUUGUGGUUGAAAAAUGAAAGGAAGCCUCUCUAUUUAUAGUAAACAAAAGGUAGUAUGAACAAGUGUUUUUUGUGUCUUAUCUUAAAAGUCAUGACUGAUUCGAGAAGUCACAACUUAUUGAAAAAGUCACAACAAUUUGGAAAAGACACAACACUUUGGAAAAGUCACAACUUAUCAGAAAAGUCACAACUCAUUGGAAAAGUCACAACCUAAGUUAGGGAUAUUAUAGUAAUUUAACAUUCAAGUUAGGAGUUCAUGCUUUUAAGGUAACUAGUUUUUCGACACUUGCAUUGCACGUGAUUAUCAAUUCUAAAAAUUUAAGCAAAGAUUUGAAUAAUAAGCUUUGCACAAAAUAAUAUUGCAUAUUAUUUUGUGAAUGUUCAAUGUGGAUCAUCAUAUAUAGCUCUUAUUCACACGAACCUAUGAAGAUGGUCAAUGAAAAAUUUUAUUAGUUAAAUGCAAUAAUGUUUAUUUUAUUUCAAUUUGAUGAGGUUCAAUCAUGUAAUUAGUCGUAUCUCAUUAAUAUUACCUUAUAGACGAUAUUUGUUGUGUAUUUUUCUUGUCAUCUAACCAAAUGUGCUUUUCACGUGUAUUCCACUUAAUUUGUUUAGAAGCCAUAUAAACUUUUCUUCGUCGAAAAUAUUGAAAUAUUAAGAAAUGGUAAAUUAGUAAAACAAAAGGGCAAUGUUUACAUAGUAAUAACUAUUUUGAAGCAAACUUCCUAACAAUCUAAAUCACAUAAGUAGCAUUGCUAAAAAAAGUCAUUCUUUUGUCUUGAGCAUCAAAAAAAUAAAUCGUGAUAAUUCUCUAACUCUUGAGAGGUUUCAGAAUUUUGGGAAAAGAUAUUCAGAAAUAUAUAUCUACAUCACAAGAGAAAUUAUUAACAAAAUAAAUGAAUUUAUACUAUAAUAAAAUUAAACUAAUACAAACUUCAAUUGACGUUAUUACAAGUCAUAUGAACUUUUCUUCGUUUAAAAUAUUGAAAUAUUAAGAAAUAGUAAAUAAGUAAAACAAAAGGGCAAUGUUUAUACAGUGACUCUUGAGAAGUUUAAUAAUUUUGGAAAAAGAUAUUCAGAAGCAUAUAAUUACAUCACGAGAGAAGUUGUUAACAAAAACAAAUGAAUUUAGACUACAAUAAAAAUUAAACUAAUACAAAUUUUAACUCGCAUUAUUUCAAGUCAUAUAAACCUUUCUUCAUCAAAUAUACUUAAAUAUUAAGAAAUAGUAAACCAAUAAAACCAAAGGGCAAUGUUUAUAUAGUAGUAACUAUUUUGAAGCAAUCUUCCUGACAAUUUAAAUCACAUAAGUACCAUUGAUAAAUAAAGCCAUAAAUUUGUAUUGAGCAUAAAAAACAAAUCGUGACAAUUCUCUAACUCUUGAGAAGUUUAAUAAUUUUUGAAAAAGAUAUUAAGAAGAAUAUAUCUACAUGACAAGCGAAAAUGUUAAUAAAAACAAAUGAAUUUUGACUGCAUCAUGUUAACUUCAUAUAUUGGAUCAUUACAUACUAAUAUAUAUAUACUAAGCAAAAAAAUAGCUAUUAUAUGAUCAGAGUUAUUUUCCUCAAGUACUCGAGGUUAAAGAAUAUACUCUCUUAGGAUAGAACAAUUUACUUCAUCGGAAUAGUGGUACCUCAUAUUCCGCUAAACUUCGAACUCACUCAACGACAAUAAGUCACACGAAAUUUUUUAAAAUGCAAGAAGAAGAAGAGUAGAAGAUUUAAAAAAAAUUGUGGUUGAAAAGUUAGAGGAAACCCCUCUAUUAUAGUCAACAAAGGGUAGUAUGAACAAGCAUUUUUUGGUGUCAUGACCUUUCCAAAAAGUGACAAGCCUUUGGAAAAGUCACAACUUAUUGAAAAAGUCACAACUCUUUGAAAAAGUCACAACUCUGUGGAAAAGUCACAACUCAUCGAAAAAUCACAACUUAUCAUAAAAGUCACAACAUAAGUUAGGUAUAUUAUAGUAAUUUAACAUUCAAGUUAGGAGUUCAUGCUUUUAAGAUAACUAGUGUCACGGCACGUGCGUUGCACGUGUGUAUCGUAUAUAGUAUAUGAUGUUGUAAAAUAGAAUUAAUAUUACUAAAUUGUAGAGUUUUAGUAAAUAAUUAUAAUUGAACGAACAUAGGACAAGUCUCUUUAAAUUAUUACUACAUAUUGUCAUAGAGUUACUAGUAUUUUGAGAUAAGUAUGACCAGAUAUCAUUAAAACAUUUAAAAAUACAUUCAAAGUUUAAAUAUGGGAGAAAGUGACAUUUCUUUGAUAAUAUUAUUUUUACUUCACUCAAUUUGUAAACAAAUCUAACCAACAAAAUAGAAAAAAAAAUAUCCAUUCAAAAAAUGUCACCAAUAGCCUUUCCUCUUGAGGUUAUGAACAUAAAUGAUGUACACCAUUUAAGUACAAAUUUUAUCUUAAGUAUUUAUACUUGAAAUUUAGGAUGUGCAUGACAAUAAUAAGGAUUACCAUAAGUAUUUCAAUAUUUUAUCUUUAUAUGUAACAUAUCUUUUACAAAAUAUUAUUACUCAAUUAAUAUUUGUGUAAGGCUAUCACAGAGAGGCAACUUUACCAAAAAAGUGUAUUUGGCUGUUAUCAUGAAUGGUGGUUAUGUAUACUUCAGUAGCAUAAUUUAAUUUAAAUAUAUGAAUAAUAUCACCUAUGUUGAAAAAUAUUUCAUUUCAUUAAGUUUCUACAUUAUCUUUGUGGAAUUGUAGUCUUCCCCUUUUUUUCUGCCGCAUACAUAUCAUAUAGUUGUUGUCUAAUGAAAGCAUCUAGUAUCUUAUAGAAGUUGUAUCGUGAUAUAAAAUGUUUAAAUUUUUCAAUAACAAAAAUUAAUAGAUGAAUAAAAUUUAAAGUAUUAUUUAUAGAAUCAUUAAUUUGAUUUAAGAUCAUCUUAUGAUCAAUCAUAUAAUAUAUGAAACCUUUUCAAUAAUAAAAAUUAAUAGAUGAAUAAAAUUUAAAGUAUUAUUUAUAGAAUCUUUAACUUGAUUUAAGAUCAUCGUAUUAUCAAUCACUAUUUUCUUAUCUAUUUUUAUAUAGCUAGUAAGGAGUGUAUCUUGUGAUAUAAAGAAAAAAUAUAUGGAACAAGACAUAGCGAAUGAAGAAGGAAGACUAAAAUAUAUGUUCAUGCUAAAUUCACUCUAGUGUUCCAUUUGAUUUAAAUCUCUUGUCACCAACACUUUACUUUCCCCGUUCAUUUUUACAUACAUAUCUAUUAAAAAAUAAGUAUUAUCAUGGUCAUGUUAUCAUAUUAUAAGUAAAAGUGAAAAUCUAUUUUUGAAAUAGUGAAUUUAACAUCAAAACUAAUAAUUCAAUGGAUACCCAUUGUUUUAGCAAAAUUAGGAAGAAACUCCUUCGUUUGAGGGAAAAGAAUAAAAAAUAAAAAAAACAAAGAAGAAAUAUUUUACCCAAAUCAUAUGUCUCGUUUAAUAUUAUUGUCUCUCCCACAACUUUUUGUCACUGUUAACUCGUGAAACUGGUAAGAAAAAAUAUGAGUGUGAAUUGAUGAAUGAUUUGCUACAAUUUUUUCAUCAACUCUUUCUUAACCUUGAAUUUCGUUGAAUUUCGAACUUGAUCAUUUUUUGUAAAUAACACUUGAGAUUUUUUAAGAAAAAGAAGAAUAGAGAACUUAAUAAAUUGUAGUUUAAAAGUGUGAGGAAACCCCUCUAUUUAUAGCUACCAAAUAGUAGUAUGAAUAGGUGUUAAUUGUGCCUUAUCCGAAAAGUCACAACCUUUCAAAAAAGUCACUGCUUAUCGGAGAAGAUACUGUUUAUUGGAAAAGUCACAACUCAUCAGAAAAAGGCACAACCCUUCGAAAAAAUCACAACCCUUCGGAAAAGUCACAACUCAUUGGAAAAGUCACAACCCAUCAAAAAAGUCAUAACCCUUUGGAAAAGUUACAAUCCUUUAAUUUGAAAAGGUAUCUACUUUCAAUAUAAUAAAAUUAAUAAAUAAAAUAAAUUGAGUAUUUUUAAUUAGGGAUAUUAUAGUAAUUCAACAUUUAAGUUUGGGAACUCAUGCUUUUAAGGUAGUAUAGAUAGAUAGAUAUAGAUAGAUAGAUAGAUAUAGAUAUGACUAAAAAAUAAAUUAAAUAUAAUAUUUAUAACCUAUUCAGUAUGUUUUACUUUUACGCUUAGUCUAUUUAUUAGUUCCUCAAAAGUCAAAAUAAAUUAGUUCAUAUGGAAAUCUUAACCCUGUAUAUACUAUGCCUACCAAAUAGACUCGUGCAAAAUUUUCAGUACCCAUUGUUUUUUAAUUUCGUAUAAAUAGUCACACCUAAUUUCUGGUUGUUUGGGGGAAGAAUCAUAACAAACUAAAGCAUAACAAUGAGGAUGUGGUGGUUUAUAACAACUUUAGCCAUUACUGCUUUCUUUUGUAAUUCCCCUGUUUAUGCUUAUGAUAACAACCCUCUACAGGACAUAUGUGUUGCUGUUAACGACUCUCAUGCUUCAGGUUAAUCCUCCUUCUAUAUUAUUUAUUUGUUUCAGAAUGAGGCAUAGUUUUUGUAUGUAUGUUGUACAAUUUAUGUCACAUCUUAUUAUCUGAGUAAUAUGCGCUUAGCUUCAUUUUAUUGUACGUGUGCAGUUUUCGUGAACGGGAAGAUUUGCAAAGACCCAAAGCUUGCAACAGCGAAUGAUUUCUAUUUUUCAGGUCUUAAUGUAAGUGGAAAUGAAGUGCCUGGGUUAGGUUUUGCUUUAAAGACUGUGGAUGUAAACAACAUGCCUGGACUUAACACUCUUGGUAUUACUCUUGUUCGUGCUGACCUGGAACCACAACGUAUUGGACCAUUUCACAUGCACCCUCGAGCUACUGAGAUGAUAACUAUCCUGGAGGGUACUACUUAAGCAGGAUUUCUUGUCCCUGAUCCUGCAAACUUCUUUAAGAGUCGUCUCUUUUCCAAAAUCUUGAAUCCUGGCGAUGUGUUUGUGUUCCCACAAGGUCUUAUUCACUUCCUGUAUAACGUGGGAUACAAAAAAGCUACUUUUCUCUUUUAUUUCAAUAGUCAAAAUCCUGGAUUUGUCAUUAUUCCUUAUUCAAUCUUUGCUUCAAAUCCACCUAUUUCAGACGACGUUCUUGCCAAAGGCUUCCAGCUGAAUAAGACACAGAUUGCAGAACUUCGAAAGAAAUUCUCUUAAGGUUAUAUAAUGCAUGUCGUUAAAAAUGUGAUUCUGUGUUUUUUCAGAAAGUUGUUUGCAGCACGUUAGGUGC